UGGAAUUUMACAAAACCCCGGCACGCAUGAAGAACGUAGCAAAAUGCGAUACUUGGUGUGAAUUGCAGAAUCCCGUGAACCAUCGAGUUUUUGAACGCAAGUUGCGCCCGAAGCCAUCCGGUUUAGGGCACGCC
rnacentral:rRNA from 1 species